rnacentral:rRNA from 1 species
UACGUAGGGACCGAGCGUUGUCCGGAUUCAUUGGGCGUAAAGCGUCCGCAGGUGGCACCUCAAGUCUGCUGUCAAAGACCGGGGCUUAACCCCAGAAAGGCAGUGGAAACUGAAGUGCUAGAGUGCAGUAGGGGUAGAGGGAAUUCCCGGUGUAGCGGUGAAAUGCGUAGAGAUCGGGAAGAACAUCGGUGGCGAAAGCGCUCUGCUGGACUGCAACUGACACUCAGGGACGAAAGCUAGGGGAGCGAAUGGG